rnacentral:rRNA from 1 species
CGGAACGGAGCUAUACUGAUAAUAUAUUGAACCGCAUGGUUCAAUAGUGAAAGACGGUUUUGCUGUCACUUAUAGAUGGAUCCGCGCCGCAUUAGCUAGUUGGUAAUGUAACGGCUUAACCAAGGCAACGAUGCGUAGCCGACCUGAGAGGGUGAUCGGCCACACUGGAACUGAGACACGGUCCAGACUCCUACGGGAGGCAGCAGUU